GAUGGUCUCGGGUACCAAUGUGUAUGGCAUCCUGCGGGCCCCACGUGCUGCCAGUACCGAGUCCCUGGUACUCACUGUACCCUGUGGUCCAGACACCACCAAUAGCCAGGCUGUGGGGUUGUUGUUGGCACUCGCUGCCCAUUUCCGAGGGCAGAUUUACUGGGCCAAAGAUAUAAUUUUCCUGGUAACAGAACAUGAUCUUCUGGGCACUGAGGCUUGGCUUGAGGCCUACCAUGACAUUAAUGUUACAGGCAUACAGUCAUCUCCCCUGCAGGGCAGGGCUGGUGCCAUCCAGGCCGCUGUGGCCCUGGAGCUGAGCAGUGAUGUAGUCACCAGCCUCGACGUGACCGUGGAGGGACUCAACGCUGCAGCCCCAGGACUGGACAUCACUGGAAGGGCCUCUGCAGGGCCUGCAGACACUGCUUCUCAUGGUGCUGCGGCAGGCCUCUGGCCGGCCCCAUGGCCCCCAUGGCCUCUUCCUGCGCUACGGAGUGGAGGCCCUAACCCUACGUGGCAUCAACAGCUUCCGCCAAUACAAGUAUGAUUUGGUGGCAGUGGGCAAGGCUCUGGAGGGCAUGUUCCGAAAGCUCAACCACCUCCUGGAGCGCUUGCACCAGUCGUUCUUCUUCUACCUACUGCCCGCCCUCUCCCGCUUCGUGUCCAUUGGACUCUACAUGCCCGCCACAGGCUUCCUGCUCCUGGUCCUUGGACUCAAG
rnacentral:lncRNA from 1 species